UGGUGGUGCUGUUUGGAAAAUUUGAAAACAAUACGAUUGGCAAUUUAUUUGGAUUUCGAAGAUUCUGGUCCUGGCUGAAAUUUAGAGUAUUGCAGCUGUAGUCUGUAUACCAUACACUCAACAUGAAAAGGACUGUCAGGAUGCUGCAUAAAAUGGUCUUAGCUAGAGCCUAGAAUGUUAAUUUCUUGGGAAUAUGCUGCAAGGAACUGACGGGGAGCAGUUUUUCUUACCAAUCAUAGGUGAGACUUUUAAAUAGCUUCUUUUUAAAAAGAUUUUGUUGUCUUAUAUACAGUAUUUGCUGUCAAUAUGAAACUUAGCUAUGUUUCAAUUUCUAUGCUGUUUUAUGAUGUAAAUCUUAGAGAAAAGCAUUUUAAGAUAAAAACAAAUCACUAAGUUGAGUAAUUAUAUGUAUAAUUUGAGAUUGACCAAGUCAACAACUUCUUAUUUUUAUUUGCAGAAGCAGUAAGAGACAGCCAAAGAAGUACUCAAACACCUGACAUACCAAGAAAGAUCUAGAAGAAAAGAUUGGAACAGAUUGUAGCUUAAUUGUUCAAACUAUCAAAGUGAAUUUUAGCUGCACUUGAACUGUAUUUUUUAAAUAAAAUAUCUGAAGUAUUUAAUAUUGUCUUGAUAUUUUGUUAAACUUGGUAACUUUGCUUUAUAUCCAAAAAUUA